UUAAUUGAAACCAAAAUAGAGGUAUAUCACUGUUAAUGAUAUUAUUGAAUAAUAAAAUAUUCCAAUUAAG
rnacentral:tRNA from 1 species